AAAGAAACUAACAAGGAUUCCCCUAGUAACGGCGAGUGAAGCGGGAAAAGCUCAAAUUUGUAAUCUGGCGCCUUUGGCGUCCGAGUUGUAAUCUCGAGAAGUAUUUUCCGCGCUGGACCGCACAUAAGUCUGUUGGAAUACAGCGUCAUAGUGGUGAGAACCCCGUAUAGGGUGCGGAUGCCCAGUGCUUUGUGAUAUACUUUCGAAGAGUCGAGUUGUUUGGGAAUGCAGCUCAAAUUGGGUGGUWAAUUCCAUCUAAAGCUWAAUAUUGSCGAGAGAMCGAUAGCGMACAAGUACCGUGAGGGAAAGAUGAAAAGCACUUUGGAAAGAGAGUUAACAGUACGUGAAAUUGUUGGAAGGGAAACGCUUGAAGUCAGACUUGCAUUUUGGAGUUCAGCCGUAAGGUGUAUUCUUCAAUUCGCAGGCCAGCAUCAGUUUUUGGGGGUGGAAAAUCGUGGUUUGAAGGUAGCAGUCUCGGCUGUGUUAUAGCUUUCCACUGGAUUCACUUUUGGGGACUGAGGAAYGCAGUACGCUUUUUGCAAGAUUCUCGGAUCUUUCGUACUUAGGAUGCUGGUGGAAUGGCUUUAAACGACCCGUCUUGAAACACGGACCAAGGAGUCUAACAUGUUUGCGAGUGUUUGGGUGUCAAACCCGGACGCGUAAUGAAAGUGAAUGGAGGUGGGAUCCGCAAGGUGCACCAUCGACCGAUCUGGAUUUUCUAAGAUGGAUUUGAGUAAGAGCAAUUAUGUUGGGACCCGAAAGAUGGUGAACUAUGCCUGAAUAGGGUGAAGCCAGAGGAAACUCUGGUGGAGGCUCGUAGCGGUUCUGACGUGCAAAUCGAUCGUCAAAUUUGGGUAUAGGGGCGAAAGACUAAUCGAACCAUCUAAAUGUUGCUUGGUGGUUAAUAGGGACUUCAAAGUAGAGCCCUAGUGGGAGUGGUAACUUGCGACACUUUCAAAUUGCGGGGACGCCCUUAGAGCUCUAAUUACGGCGGCUCAUCGAAAGAUAGAGUGCAGCAGCAGGUUAAUGGCCUCGCGGAUCGUAAAAACAUUAGAGAUUGGGUAAUCCGCAGCCAAGUCCUAAGUAGCGCCUUGGAGUCGCUAUAUGGAUGCAGUUCAUCGACUAAAUGGAAGUGGGUGUCCUUUCUUAACCGGAAGGGUGCUUGAGAUAUAGUCAGCCCCUCGUGAGAGCGAGCUAAUGGGACGAAGAUUCGAUUCGUUUUUACCACUAUAAACGACGUUUCCCGAGCCCAUUGGGGUCUAAUAAGAGGACAUAGUAAACCUCUUGAAGACUGGAUUACGUGCUAGUAGCUGGUUCCUGCCGAAGUUUCCCUCAGGAUAGCAGAAACUCACAUCAGUUCUAUGAGGUAAAGCGAAUGAUUAGAGGCCUUGGGGUUGAAACAACCUUAACCUAUUCUCAAACUUUAAAUAUGUAGGAAGUCCUUGCUACUUAAUG
rnacentral:rRNA from 1 species